rnacentral:rRNA from 1 species
GAUCAGCAUGCCGCGGUGAAUACGUUCCCGGGCCUUGUACACACCGCCCGUCACACCACGAGAGUUUGUAACACCCGAAGUCGGUGAGGUAACCUUUUGGAGCCAGCCGCCUAAGGUGGGACAGAUGAUUGGGGUGAAGUCGUAACAAGGUAGCCGUAUCGGAAGGUGCGGCUGGAUCACCUCCUUUCUAAGGAA